rnacentral:rRNA from 1 species
GGUCAAGUGAAGAAGCGCAUACGGUGGAUGCCUUGGCAGUCAGAGGCGAUGAAAGACGUGGUAGCCUGCGAAAAGCUUCGGGGAGUCGGCAAACAGACUGUGAUCCGGAGAUAUCUGAAUGGGGGAACCCAGCCAUCAUAAGAUGGUUAUCUUGUACUGAAUACAUAGGUGCAAGAGGCGAACCAGGGGAACUGAAACAUCUAAGUACCCUGAGGAAAAGAAAUCAACCGAGAUUCCCUUAGUAGUGGCGAGCGAACGGGGACCAGCCCUUAAGUUGUAUUGAGAUUAGCGGAACGUUCUGGAAAGGACGGCCAUAGUGGGUGAUAGCCCUGUACGCGAAAAUCCCUUUGCAAUGAAAUCGAGUAGGACGGGGCACGAGAAACCUUGUCUGAAUAUGGGGGGACCAUCCUCCAAGGCUAAAUACUACUGACUGACCGAUAGUGAACCAGUACCGUGAGGGAAAGGCGAAAAGAACCGCGGAGAGCGGAGUGAAAUAGAUCCUGAAACCGUAUGCGUACAAGCAGUGGGAGCCCACUUUGUUGGGUGACUGCGUACCUUUUGUAUAAUGGGUCAGCGACUUAUUUUCAGUGGCGAGCUUAACCGAAUAGGGGAGGCGUAGCGAAAGCGAGUCUUAAUAGGGCGUCUAGUCGCUGGGAAUAGACCCGAAACCGGGCGAUCUAUCCAUGGGCAGGUUGAAGGUUGGGUAACACUAACUGGAGGACCGAACCGACUACCGUUGAAAAGUUAGCGGAUGACCUGUGGAUCGGAGUGAAAGGCUAAUCAAGCUCGGAGAUAGCUGGUUCUCCUCGAAAGCUAUUUAGGUAGCGCCUCAUGUAUCACUGUAGGGGGUAGAGCACUGUUUCGGCUAGGGGGUCAUCCCGACUUACCAAACCGAUGCAAACUCCGAAUACCUACAAGUGCCGAGCAUGGGAGACACACGGCGGGUGCUAACGUCCGUCGUGAAAAGGGAAACAACCCAGACCGUCAGCUAAGGUCCCAAAGUCAUGGUUAAGUGGGAAACGAUGUGGGAAGGCUUAGACAGCUAGGAGGUUGGCUUAGAAGCAGCCACCCUUUAAAGAAAGCGUAAUAGCUCACUAGUCGAGUCGGCCUGCGCGGAAGAUGUAACGGGGCUCAAACCAUGCACCGAAGCUACGGGUAUCAUCUUUUGAUGAUGCGGUAGAGGAGCGUUCUGUAAGCCUGUGAAGGUGAGUUGAGAAGCUUGCUGGAGGUAUCAGAAGUGCGAAUGCUGACAUGAGUAACGACAAUGGGUGUGAAAAACACCCACGCCGAAAGACCAAGGUUUCCUGCGCAACGUUAAUCGACGCAGGGUUAGUCGGUCCCUAAGGCGAGGCUGAAAAGCGUAGUCGAUGGAAAACAGGUUAAUAUUCCUGUACUUCUGGUUAUUGCGAUGGAGGGACGGAGAAGGCUAGGCCAGCCUGGCGUUGGUUGUCCAGGUUUAAGGUGGUAGGCUGAGAUCUUAGGUAAAUCCGGGAUCUCAAGGCCGAGAGCUGAUGACGAGUGUUCUUUAGAACACGAAGUGGUUGAUGCCAUGCUUCCAAGAAAAGCUUCUAAGCUUCAGGUAACCAGGAACCGUACCCCAAACCGACACAGGUGGUUGGGUAGAGAAUACCAAGGCGCUUGAGAGAACUCGGGUGAAGGAACUAGGCAAAAUGGCACCGUAACUUCGGGAGAAGGUGCGCCGGUGAGGGUGAAGCAUUUACUGCGUAAGCCCACGCCGGUCGAAGAUACCAGGCCGCUGCGACUGUUUAUUAAAAACACAGCACUCUGCAAACACGAAAGUGGACGUAUAGGGUGUGACGCCUGCCCGGUGCCGGAAGGUUAAUUGAUGGGGUUAGCGCAAGCGAAGCUCUUGAUCGAAGCCCCGGUAAACGGCGGCCGUAACUAUAACGGUCCUAAGGUAGCGAAAUUCCUUGUCGGGUAAGUUCCGACCUGCACGAAUGGCGUAACGAUGGCGGCGCUGUCUCCACCCGAGACUCAGUGAAAUUGAAAUCGCUGUGAAGAUGCAGUGUAUCCGCGGCUAGACGGAAAGACCCCGUGAACCUUUACUAUAGCUUUGCACUGGACUUUGAAUUUGCUUGUGUAGGAUAGGUGGGAGGCUUUGAAGCGUGGACGCCAGUCUGCGUGGAGCCAACCUUGAAAUACCACCCUGGCAACUUUGAGGUUCUAACUCAGGUCCGUUAUCCGGAUCGAGGACAGUGUAUGGUGGGUAGUUUGACUGGGGCGGUCUCCUCCUAAAGAGUAACGGAGGAGUACGAAGGUGCGCUCAGACCGGUCGGAAAUCGGUCGUAGAGUAUAAAGGCAAAAGCGCGCUUGACUGCGAGACAGACACGUCGAGCAGGUACGAAAGUAGGUCUUAGUGAUCCGGUGGUUCUGUAUGGAAGGGCCAUCGCUCAACGGAUAAAAGGUACUCCGGGGAUAACAGGCUGAUACCGCCCAAGAGUUCAUAUCGACGGCGGUGUUUGGCACCUCGAUGUCGGCUCAUCACAUCCUGGGGCUGAAGCCGGUCCCAAGGGUAUGGCUGUUCGCCAUUUAAAGUGGUACGCGAGCUGGGUUUAGAACGUCGUGAGACAGUUCGGUCCCUAUCUGCCGUGGACGUUUGAGAUUUGAGAGGGGCUGCUCCUAGUACGAGAGGACCGGAGUGGACGAACCUCUGGUGUUCCGGUUGUCACGCCAGUGGCAUUGCCGGGUAGCUAUGUUCGGAAAAGAUAACCGCUGAAAGCAUCUAAGCGGGAAACUUGCCUCAAGAUGAGAUCUCACUGGAACCUUGAGUUCCCUAAAGGGCCGUCGAAGACUACGACGUUGAUAGGUUGGGUGUGUAAGCGCUGUGAGGCGUUGAGCUAACCAAUACUAAUUGCCCGUGAGGCUUGACCAU